GCAUUAAUGGGGUAGUGGUAACCUGGGUCGUUGCCAUUUGAGCACUAGCUCGACCCGCCGGGGGUUCGAUUCCCUCUUAAUGCA